ACAUCCCGUGCGGGAGAGUCACGGUGGUCGGGCGGACGUCCGGCCACAGUGCGCCGAAGGGGCAAUUCCUCCCGGAACCUCUCAGGCACCAGGACCGCACGGGUUGG
rnacentral:ncRNA from 1 species